rnacentral:rRNA from 1 species
UACAGAGGUCCCAAGCGUUGUUCGGAUUCAUUGGGCGUAAAGGGCGCGUAGGCGGCGCGGCAAGUCGGGUGUGAAAUCUCGGAGCUUAACUCCGAAACUGCAUUCGAUACUGCCGGGCUUGAGGACUGGAGAGGAGACUGGAAUUUCCGGUGUAGCGGUGAAAUGCGUAGAUAUCGUGAGGAAGACCAGUGGCGAAGGCGGGUCUCUGGACAGUUCCUGACGCUGAGGCACGAAGGUCAGGGGAGCAAACGGG